GGAGAGGAAGCGGAGUCAGGAACACAAUAACUGAUGAAAUCAGAGUGACUGUGGUUCACCAUGUUGUCAACCAUGGGAUGAGCAUGAAGGAGGCUGGGAAACGGGUUCAAAGUAAUCUGAGCCGCUAUACUGUUGCAGGUAUCAUCCAGAUAUUUAGAAAUGAGAACCGAACUGCAAGAAAACCAGUAUCUGGUGGAAGAGGUUGACUGUUCACCCCAGAGCAGGAGACCCACGUUGUAAAUAUGAUCAUUGCAAAUAACUGCAUCAGACUCAGAGAACUGCAGGACCACAUAAUGGUAGAUAACACCGUAUUCCAAAACGUCAACAGAGUGAGUCUCUCUGCACUGUCUCGUCUACUGAAACGCAAUAGAAUUAGGAUGAAGCAGCUGCACAGAGUCCCUUUCGAAAGAAACUCAGACCUUGUAAAACAACUGAGAUAUGAAUAUGUGCAGAGAGUCAUGGAGCUAGAAGCAGAUGCAGUGCAUCAUGAGCUAAUAUAUGUGGAAUAGGCAGGUUUCAACCUGGCAAAAAACAAGGGGCCUCGGAGCUUAUCAUCGGACACCGUGCCAUCGUCAACGUCUCGGGACAACGUGGUGGCAACAUAACAAUGUGUGCGGCUAUUAGUCAAAAUGGCGUCCUUCACCAUCAUGCAAUCCUAGGCCCAUACAACACUGCACACAUUAUCACAUUUCUGGACACCCUCCACAACAGACGAAUCCCUAAUGACCAGGGGCCAGAGCAGCCCAGGUACGUUAUCAUCUGGCACAAUGUUAGUUUCCACCGGGCUGCUGUGGUCCGCAAUUGGUUCACAGGACACCCACUUGUCAUCGCACUCAAUCUCCCCCCAUACUCUCCGUUCUUGAAUCCUAUUGAGUAAUUAUUCUCUGCAUGGCGUUUGGAAGGUGUAUGAUUGCCAGCCCCACCAACGCAUAACCUUUCUACAGGCACUAGAGGAGGCUUGUGGAGACAUGGAUCAGGGGUCAUUGCCAGGCCUGGAUAUGGCCCUCCAGGCGAUACUUCCCACGCUGCCUGGCUCAAGACAACAUCGCAUGUGAUGUGGAUGAAGUCUUAUUUCCAGACCAACAAAGAAGGCGAGAUGAAGUCUUAUUUCCAGACCAACAAAGAAGGAGAGAUGAAGUCUCAUUUCCAGACCAACAAAGAAGGCGAGAUGAAGUCUCAUUUCCAGACCAACAAAGAAGGCGAGAUGAAGUCUCAUUUCCAGACCAACAAAGAAGGAGAGAUGAAGUCACAUUUCCAGACCAACAAAGAAGGCGAGAUGAAGUCUCAUUUCCAGACCAACAAAGAAGGCGAGAUGAAGUCUCAUUUCCAGACCAACAAAGAAGGAGAGAUGAAGUCACAUUUCCAGACCAACAAAGAAGGCGAGAUGAAGUCACAUUUCUUUGUUUUGUUUUUUUUGCGCAAUUUUUUUUUGUUUUCUUCUUCUGAGCUUUUGUUGUUUGCGGAGUGUUAGAACAAUGUGAGAAAUGUUUUUUCCCCCUUUAUUUGUAUUGAUAGUGUGUCAUGUUCGGAAUACACAUCCAUACUUUACACGUUUGGAUACCUGUGUGUAUGUGUGUUUACUACAUGUAUGACAGAACUUUAUUUGCAAACUGCUAUGCCCUGCACACAGAAACAAGAAAAAGCCACAAGUGCUUAUCAUUUAUACACUCAGUGGGUAGUUGGUGCUUCGUGUGAUUAUUCAGAUGAUGGUUUGUGUGUACUGUA